UCAGCGUUGCCGCCGACGGUUCGGCCUC
rnacentral:sRNA from 1 species